UGUUGCUGGCUCUCGGGGGCAUGUGCACACCCACCAUCCUCAUCUCUCCACCUGUGCACCUCUUGUAGACCUGGAUUGACUUUCCGAGGCAACUCGGUCGGGAAGAUUGCUGCGCUCUGUGAGCCAGCUUUCUUUGCAUGUCCAGGCCUAUGUUUUUCAUAUACCCCUAUAGAAUGUAACAGAAUGUAUCAUUGGGCCUUGUGCCUAUAAACCUUAUACAACUUUCAGCAACGGAUCUCUUGGCUCUCGCAUCGAUGAAGAACGCAGCGAAAUGCGAUAAGUAAUGUGAAUUGCAGAAUUCAGUGAAUCAUCGAAUCUUUGAACGCACCUUGCGCUCCUUGGUAUUCCGAGGAGCAUGCCUGUUUGAGUGUCAUUAAAUUCUCAACCUUAUUAACUUUUGUUGAUAAUGGAUUGGAUUGUGGGGGUUUCUUUUGCUGGCUUCUUCACAGAGAUCAGCUCCCCUUAAAUGCAUUAGCUGGUGCCCCGCGUGGACCAUCUAUUGGUGUGAUAAUUAUCUACGCCGUGGAUGUCUGCAAUCAUAUGGGUUUCGCACUGCUUCUAACCGUCUGUUCAUUCGGACAAUACAUGACAAUUUGACCUCAAAUCAGGUAGGACUACCCGCUGAACUUAAGCAUAUCAAUAAGCGGAGGAAAAGAAACUAACAAGGAUUCCCCUAGUAACUGCGAGUGAAGCGGGAAAAGCUCAAAUUUAAAAUCUGGCGGUCUCCGGCCGUCC
rnacentral:rRNA from 1 species